rnacentral:rRNA from 1 species
CAACGAGGAAUGCCUAGUAAGCGCGUGUCAUCAGCAUGCGUUGAUUCUCGUCCCUGCCCUUUGUACACACCCGCCCGUCGCUACUACCGAUUGAAUGGCUCAGUGAGGCCUUCGGACUGGCCCGAGGAGGUUGGCAACGACCACCCCGGGCCGGAAAGUUCGUCAAACUCGGUCAUUUAGAGGAAGUAAAAGUCGUAACAAGGUUUCCGUAGGUGAACCUGCGGAAGGAUCAUUAUCAAAUACCUUAAAAAGUCUAAACCGCUUUUUAUCGUUCACCCUUUGUCUUUGCGUACUGUAUGUUUCCUCGGUGGGUUCGCCCGCCGAUAGGACAUUUCAAACCCUUUGUAAUUGCAAUCAGCGUCAGAAAAAAACUAUAAUAGUUACAACUUUCAACAACGGAUCUCUUGGUUCUGGCAUCGAUGAAGAACGCAGCGAAAUGCGAAAAGUAGUGUGAAUUGCAGAAUUCAGUGAAUCAUCGAAUCUUUGAACGCACAUUGCGCCCCUUGGUAUUCCAUGGGGCAUGCCUGUUCGAGCGUCAUUUGUACCCUCAAGCUCAGCUCUUGGUGUUGGGUGUUUGUCCUGCCCUCGCGGCGGACUCGCCUUAAAGUGAUUGGCAGCCAGAAUAAUUCUGGGGAACGCAGCACAACUGCAGCCUCUAGUCUUAUACGCUGAGCGUCCAACAAGCCUUUUAUUCUUGCGUUUGACCUCGGAUCAGGUAGGGAUACCCGCUGAACUUAAGCAUAUCAAUAAGCGGAGGAA